GAUCAACGCUGGCGGCGUGCAUGAGACAUGCAAGUCGAACGAAGGAUCGGGCUUGCCCGGUCCUUAGUGGCGGACGGCUGAGUAACGCGUAGGUGACCUACCCCGACUUGGGGAAUAACGGCCCGAAAGGGUGGCUAAUACCGCAAGUGGUCGAACGUUCAUUCGGGCGAGUAAAGCCGCCAGGCGCUUCGGGCGGGGCCUGCGUCCGAUUAGCUCGUUGGGGGGGUAAUGGCGUACCAAGGCGACGAACGGUAGGUGGUCUGAGAGGACGGUCACCCAGACUGGGACUGAGACACAGCCCAGACUCCUGCGGGAGGCAGCAGUCGGGAAUUUUGCUCAAUGGGGGAAAUCCUGAAGCAGCAACGCCGCGUGAGGGAUGAAGGCCUUCGGGUUGUAAACCUCUUUUGUCAGGGACGAUGAUGACGGUACCUGGCGAAUAAGCCACGGCUAACUACGUG
rnacentral:rRNA from 1 species